UGCUGUAAAAGUGAUGAGCUCUUCAUGUCUCUUCUCUGACUAAACUUUGAAGAAGACUAAACACCUCUGAUCUCAGCA
rnacentral:snoRNA from 1 species